GGAAACUACCCAGCCACACCUAGGCAGGUGGCCCGCCCCUCCUCCGCGGGUUGAGCAAGCAGGAAAAGGUGGCAGCAAGAGGCAGUGGGCAGAUGUGCUGGGCAAUGGUGGCCGGAGCCCAAGCUAGGAUGGGCUUUCUCUGGGGCCUGGCUCUGCCCCUUUUCUUCUUCUGCUGGGUGGCUGGUGCUCCCAGGAGCUCUGCAGGCCCCAGCACCAGUGGAUCAGGCCACACAGAAGUGCCUGCUGUGACUCCAGGGGUCAGGACGAGCUCAGAGGGAGUCUUCCAGAACACUGACCUCACUGAGACCUCUAUGUCGAACCAUAUCUCUUUGGAAACUCAAACCCUAAGCACCCAGACCUCUGAUAGGACCUUCCUCCCAGACAGCACCAUUUCAGUAGCAGAGAACAGGGAAAACAAGACCAUGGCCCUCAUAAAAAUAAUGCCUUCCAAGUCCUCGGCUGUGAUCACCACUCUUAUGGAGACAUCAGCCACAAGUGGCAGCCCCACGGGACGUGGAAUGACCACAGUUGAGACCGUCACAGGCACUGAGCUCUUGAAAGCCGCCUUUGACACCCUUUGCAAACUUGGCAGCUCUGAAGAGGCAAAGAGAAUAAUGGUAGACUUCUUGAAAUUAGCUCACACCUCUACAGAAGCCGAGGCCUUGUCCUCGGAGAGCAGCGCUUCCUCUGACAGCUCAGUUCCAGCCAUCACCACCUCACAAGCCCUGUCACCUGACAUUGCUGCUCUGGUUAAAGCCUUGGUUACCUCCAGCAUCAGCAACAUUGAGGUGAUCAACUGCAGUGUUAUAGAAAUAGAAGCAACUGCCAGCAUCCCUGGGACCUCAGACAUAGAUCACAGCCCCACGGGAGGAAAGGCCCUGUCUACCCCUGAGACAUCAGCUUUGCCUGACUCCACUGAAGUAAAAUCACACCUCGCCAGGACCACAACCUCUGCUGAGACCUUGUCAACAGCCAGCGCCACAGAAUCAGCCACACCUGACAUCACACUCACCAUCAAUAGCACCACAGAAAUGGAAACAACAGCAGCCAAGGCCACGGCCCCCAGUGGAACCUUGGUGACAGUUAGCAUGAACCUCUUGGAAGAAAACUCAUCCCUCUCUGUUGAGACAACAAGCCACACCGAGGUCUCAGGAGAAGUUACAAUCUCCACAGGGACUGCAUCAACAGCAGGCAAGGUGACUUCCCCUGCUAGGUUCUCAGCUACGGUCUACAGCCUCUCUGAAGUAACUACCAUCAUGAGCUCCACCCCCUCAGAGACUUCUACCACAGACAUCACAUUCAGUGCGCCCGUUCCCAACAGCAGGAGCCCACUUCCCUCUGUCCAUCUGGCUACGGCCAACAGCAGCCAAGAAACAAACAUCACCUUAGCUAAGACCACAGCCUCAGCAAAGGCCUUGAAGAUAGCCAGCACAGCUGGAGGGAAACCCUCAACAGCCACGCCCACCAGUGCUCAGACAAGUCUGACAGAUGUUACUGCAGGUGAGGAUGGAGGCUUCCUCCUCCUGAGGCUGAGCGUGGCCUCCCCAGAAGACCUCACUGCCCGCAGAGUGGCAGAGAGGUUGAUGCAGCAGCCACAGAACCUAGCACAGAGCCACGGAGGGCACUCAAAUGUUUGCUGAAUGACUUAGAGGACGGGCUGUGUGAGCAGAUGACCAUGAAAUAUGGGCACUGAGCUCUGAAAGACAAAGGUGGGCGUGGACCUAAACAAGACAACCUGUCUAAAGUCUCCUGUGACUCAGCACAGACUCAGAAGGCAAAAACGCAAGGCCAUGAUGAGGACAGCGUGAAGUGGAACUUUUCUGACAAGAGGCUUCAACUGAAGCUUCUGCACAGCCCAUCCUUCCUUCAUCCCUUGUGAGGGGGACUGGCCACCAGUUAGUGGAAAGCAGUGAAUGGUAACUAAUCCCAUGAGUGCACCACAAAUUGAAGUGAGUGGGCACGUUUUUUGGUAUCAAUAAAUAAGUACAUUGGUAUAUCAUACCAGUGCUCGGUUAUGCAUCAUCCUGGUCAUUAAAAGCUGGCCCAGGGCUUCCCUGGUGGCGCAGUGGUUGAGAAUCUGCCUGCCAAUGCAGGGGACACGGGUUCAAGCCCUGGUCUGGGAAGAUCCCACAUGCCGCGGAGCAACUAGGCCCAUGAGCCUCAACUACUGAGCCUGCGCGUCUGGAGCCUGUGCUCCGCAACAAGAGAGGCCGCGACAGUGAGAGGCCAGCGCACCGCGAUGAAGAGUGGCCCCCGCUCGCCGCAACUAGAGAAAGCCCUCGCACAGAAAUGAAGACCC